GAUAAAAAAAGGAUUUUAACCUUUAUAUCAAGGGCUACAACCUUGCGCCUACCUCGGCCAUUUUACC
rnacentral:tRNA from 1 species